rnacentral:tRNA from 2 species
GCCGAGGUGGCGGAAAUGGCAGACGCGCUAGCCUCAGGAGUUAGUGGGGAAACCCAUGGGGGUUCAAAUCCCCCCCUCGGCA